GGUGGCUCAGUGGUAGAGUGCUUGUCUAGAAUGCAUGAGGCCCUGGGUUCGAUUCCUCAGCACCA
rnacentral:tRNA from 1 species